UACGAAGGGUGCAAGCGUUACUCGGAAUUACUGGGCGUAAAGCGUGCGUAGGUGGUUUGUUAAGUCUGCUGUGAAAGCCCCGGGCUCAACCUGGGAAUGGCAGUGGAUACUGGCAAGCUAGAGUGCGAUAGAGGGGUGUGGAAUUCCCGGUGUAGCGGUGAAAUGCGUAGAGAUCGGGAGGAACACCAGUAGCGAAGGCGACUUCCUGGCCUGUUCUUGACGCUGAGGCGCGAAAGCUAGGGUAGCAAACGGG
rnacentral:rRNA from 1 species